GGGUCGAUGUCAGUAACAUGUCAUUAAAAUAAUUCUAAUAGGCAAAAAAGAAAAUGCAUUUAGGUAUAUAUGUGUACGUCUGUAUGCCACUUGAAUAUUGUUUGAACGCAUUAAAAUGUAUAAUAUCAGUUUCGUCAAAUUACCAAAGUCAUUACAAAUAACAGAUUUAUUAUUGUAAACGAAGCCACCAUUAUCUGAGGUAGAAUAACUGGCCGAAUGAUCUUAUAAAAA